rnacentral:rRNA from 1 species
UACGAAGGGGGCUAGCGUUGCUCGGAAUUACUGGGCGUAAAGCGCACGUAGGCGGUCUUUUAAGUCGGGGGUGAAAUCCUGGAGCUCAACUCCAAGAACUGCCUUCGAUACUGGAAGACUUGAGUCCGGGAGAGGUGAGUGGAACUGCGAGUGUAGAGGUGAAAUUCGUAGAUAUUGGGAAGAACACGGUGGCGAAGGCGGCUCACUGGCUCGUAUCUGACGCUGAGGCGCGAGAGCGUGGGGAGCAAACCGGG